rnacentral:rRNA from 1 species
AGCGAACGCUGGCGGCAGGCUUAACACAUGCAAGUCGAGCGGGCGUAGCAAUACGUCAGCGGCAGACGGGUGAGUAACACGUGGGAACGUACCUUUUGGUUCGGAACAACACAGGGAAACUUGUGCUAAUACCGAAUAAGCCCUUACGGGGAAAGAUUAUCGCCGAAAGAUCGGCCCGCGUCUGAUUAGCUUGUUGGUGAGGUAACGGCUCACCAAGGCGACGAUCAGUAGCUGGUCGAGAGGAUGAUCAGCCACACUGGGACUGAGACACGGCCCAGACUCCUACGGGAGGCAGCAGUGGGGAAUAUUGGACAAUGGGGGCAACCCUGAUCCAGCCAUGCCGCGUGAGUGAUGAAGGCCCUACGGGUUGUAAGCUCUUUUGUGCGGAAGAUAAUGACGGUACCGCAAGAAUAAGCCCCGGCCUAACUUCGUGCCAGCCGCCGCAGUAAC